rnacentral:rRNA from 1 species
UACGGAAGGGGCAAGCGUUGUUCGGAAUCAUUGGGCGUAAAGGGCGCGUAGGUGGUUCUGUAUGUCUACCGUGAAAGCGUACGGCUCAACCGUAUUUUGUCGGUAGAAACUGCAGGACUUGAGGCUGGGAGGGGCUGGUGGAAUUCCCUGUGUAGCGGUGAAAUGCGUAGAGAUGCGGAGGAACACCGAUGGCGAAGGCAGCCCCCUGGGCUAACACUGACGCUCAGGCACGAAAGCGUGGGGAGCAAACAGG